UACGGAGGGUGCAAGCGUUAUCCGGAUUUACUGGGUUUAAAGGGUGCGUAGGUGGGUUGGUAAGUCAGUGGUGAAAUCCCCGAGCUUAACUUGGGAACUGCCAUUGAUACUAUCAGUCUUGAAUACCGUGGAGGUCGGCGGAAUAUGUCAUGUAGCGGUGAAAUGCUUAGAUAUGACAUAGAACACCAAUUGCGAAGGCAGCUGACUACGCGAGUAUUGACACUGAGGCACGAAAGCGUGGGGAUCAAACAGG
rnacentral:rRNA from 1 species